GAAAAACAAAAAAGCAGGUAUUGUUAUAAACUGAGGUUAAAGGCACACCGUAGAUUUGGAAAAGGUUGGAGAAUGCUGGCUGCCAAUAUACCGUGCUAACCUUGGCUGUGAUUAGAAGAAAGAAGGGCUCUCACUAUAGUAACCCGGACAAGGAGCACAUUGCAGGCUGCAAGCAUUUCUACUCUGCCCUUCUCACCCGGGGGGACUCAGGGCGGCUUACAACAGUUACUCUGGGACUCUAAGCAGAAGACCCAUCAGUACUCUGGAGGAAGCUGGAUGGAUGGCUCCUAGAAGUCUGUUGCAGGUGGCAAAGCAGCAGCGUAGGAGAGAAGAAAAUGGUGUUUUGUGAAAAAGGGAUUGGUAUCGAUUUCAUUUGACAGAUACUCAGGUCAUUUAUAAAAAAACUAUCGUGCUAUAAAAUAUAGUUCAACAGUGAGAUCAAUAACUUAUCAGUAGUGAAACCAAGCUUGAUGUCCUUUUCUAAGUUAUAAAACAUAUAAUGCAACCUUGAAAAGUUCACACAUUAAUGACAGCGCAUUUGUUACAUUGGGA
rnacentral:lncRNA from 11 species